rnacentral:rRNA from 1 species
AGAGUUUGAUCCUGGCUCAGAAUAAACGCUAGUGGAGUGCAUAACACAUGCAAGUCGAACGAGAAACUCUUAAGCUUGCUUAGGAGUGGAAAGUGGCGCACGGGUGAGUAACACGUAGAUAACCUACCCUUAGGUUUGGGAUAACAUUACGAAAGUAGUGCUAAUACCGGAUGUAGUCGAGAAGACUUUGGUUUUUUUGAUAAAAGAUGGCUUAAGCUUGCUGCUAUCGCUUAGGGAUGGGUCUGCGUACCAUUAGCUAGUUGGUGGGGUAAGAGCUCACCAAGGCGACGAUGGUUAGCUGGUCUGAGAGGAUGUCCAGCCACACUGGAACUGACACACGGUCCAGACUUCUACGGAAGGCAGCAGUGAGGAAUAUUGCGCAAUGGGGGAAACCCUGACGCAGCAACUCCACGUGAGUGAGGAAGGCUUUCGAGUCGUAAAGCUCUGUCGAGCGGGAAGAAGUUGUAUAAUGUGAAUAAUGUUAUAUAAUUGACGUUACCGUUGAAGGAAGCACCGGCUAACUCCGUGCCAGCAGCCGCGGUAAUACGGAGGGUGCGAGCGUUAUUCGGAAUUACUGGGCGUAAAGGGUGCGUAGGCGGUUAAUUAAGUCAAAUGUGAAAAUUCAGAGCUUAACUUUGAUAGUGCAUUUGAAACUGGUUAACUUGAGUAUAAGAGAGGAAGGUGGAAUUCCAGGUGUAGCGGUGGAAUGCGUAGAUAUCUGGAGGAACAUCAGUGGCGAAGGCGACCUUCUGGAAUAAUACUGACGCUAAAGCACGAAGGUGUGGGUAUCAAACAGGCUUAGAUACCCUGGUAGUCCACACAGUAAACGUUGAACAUUAGAUGUAGUGGUACAUUUUGUGCUGCUGUGUCGUAGCUAACGCGUUAAAUGUUCCGCCUGGGGAGUACGGCCGCAAGGUUAAAACUCAAAGGAAUUGACGGGGACCCGCACAAGCGGUGGGGCAUGUGGUUCAAUUCGAUGAUACGCGAAGAACCUUACCUAGAUUUGACAUUCUUAGGAAUCAGUAUGAAAGUAUUGAGUGCUCUGUUUACGCAGAGAGCCUAAGGACAGGUGCUGCAUGGCUGCCGUCAGCUCGUGUCGUGAGAUGUUGGGUUAAGUCCCGCAACGAGCGCAACCCCUGCUUUUAGUUGCCAGCAUUUCGGAUGGGCACUCUAGAAGGACUGCCUCGGUGUAACGAGGAGGAAGGUGGGGAUGACGUCAAGUCCUCAUGGCCUUUAUGUCUAGGGCUACACACGUGCUACAAUGGGUGGUACAGAAGGAAGCUAACCUGCGAAGGUAUGCGAAACUUUAAAGCCAUUCUCAGUUCGGAUUGGAGUCUGCAACUCGACUCCAUGAAGUUGGAAUCGCUAGUAAUCGCGGAUCAGCACGCCGCGGUGAAUACGUUCUCGGGUCUUGUACACACCGCCCGUCACACCAUGAGAGUCGACUGUACCAGAAGUUACUGAGCUAACUUGAUUGUUUUCGGAUGAUUAAGAGGCAGGUACCUAAGGUGUGGUUGGUGAUUGGGGUGAAGUCGUAACAAGGUA